AGCGCAAUAGUCUCCGCUGCCCGCUGGGCCCGCCCCUUGGUUCUUUUACAUAGGCUCUCCUGCUCUCCAAUCAGCUCGGCCUUUGCCCCUCGCGCGCGUCUCUCGCCGGGGGUUGCUGUGGCGACGGGCUAAACCAGAGGCUGUGUGUCGGCCGGCUUGUGUGAUCCUCUCAGGCGGGGAGGAGGACGAGGUGGCGCCGCCGCGCGCUCUUCAUUUUAGUCCUCGCGCCGCGGCGCAAGGUGCUGGUCGCUGCAGCGGCGGGAGGCGGAGCAGGCACAACAAAGGUAGAAGGGGAAAACAUCCCAGGAGUACCAACAGUGGGAUGACCGAUUGCAAGGAAAACAGAAGUUGAAUUAGACCCCAUCUUCUGGAUAAUCAAGUCCUAACCAUUGGUCACUCAAGAAUUGCUUCUUUGCCAUAUCUGAUGUCUCUGCUGGAGAAAAGCAACCAAGGAGAAAUAAUUAAAGCUUGGGCAAAGAAAGCUCUUCUAGUCUGGAUGAGCAUCAGGUGAGAUAAUGAGCUGGUUUACCUUGAGAAAACCACAAGUAUCUUCUUCAUCCCUAUUGGAGAUGGUCUUCAUUGAGAUCAGGUGUACCUAGGCUACAAGAAUGAAUGCCUAGGUACUGCCUCCAGGUUGGGUAGGAUGACUGAAGGCCAUAUGCUGGGAGUCAAGAGCAGGUGAAGG
rnacentral:lncRNA from 1 species